GUGGCAAUUGAGUGGAACAGGAGACUGCAUUCUAGCCCCAGCUGUACUACUGACUAGCUGUGUGGCUGGGGACAAGCUGCUCAACCUCUCUGGAGCUGGGCUUUUCAUAGACAAGAGGAGAAGGCCCUCGCAACACCCUCAGAGAAGGAAGUGAAGUGAGUACAAGACCCGGGGAAACGACCGCCAGACCUCUUACCCAGGCGAAGCGCCAGGAUAGGAGGAGUGUACCCAGAAAGUGAGAAGGAGCUGCCGGCCCUCGCGGAUCACCAGGGAGCAGAUCCCAUUCCCAAGGCUGGGAAGGAUCCCAACAACCCGAGUGCGAUUCCCACCCCGCACCCCACCUUUCCUAGACUCUCAGACGACCGGGAGGCUCUAAAAAGCCCUGCGGGAAAAAUAAAGAUUUCUUUCCCAGA